rnacentral:rRNA from 1 species
CUUUGCUGGCGACCGGCGCACGGGUGAGUAACACGUAUCCAACCUGCCCUUUACUCGGGGAUAGCCUUUCGAAAGAAAGAUUAAUACCCGAUAGCAGUAAUGAUUCCGCAUGGUUUCAUUAUUAAAGGAUUCCGGUAAAGGAUGGGGAUGUGUUCCAUUAGGUUGUUGGUGAGGUAACGGCUCACCAAGCCUUCGAUGGAUAGGGGUUCUGAGAGGGAGGUCCCCCACAUUGGAACUGAGACACGGUCCAA